rnacentral:rRNA from 2 species
GGCUAUAAUGCAGUCGACGAACUCUGGUAUUGAUUGGUGCUUGCAUCAUGAUUUACAUUUGAGUGAGUGGCGAACUGGUGAGUAACACGUGGGAAACCUGCCCAGAAGCGGGGGAUAACACCUGGAAACAGAUGCUAAUACCGCAUAACAACUUGGACCGCAUGGUCCGAGUUUGAAAGAUGGCUUCGGCUAUCACUUUUGGAUGGUCCCGCGGCGUAUUAGCUAGAUGGUGAGGUAACGGCUCACCAUGGCAAUGAUACGUAGCCGACCUGAGAGGGUAAUCGGCCACAUUGGGACUGAGACACGGCCCAAACUCCUACGGGAGGCAGCAGUAGGGAAUCUUCCACAAUGGACGAAAGUCUGAUGGAGCAACGCCGCGUGAGUGAAGAAGGGUUUCGGCUCGUAAAACUCUGUUGUUGAAGAAGAACAUAUCUGAGAGUAACUGUUCAGGUAUUGACGGUAUUUAACCAGAAAGCCACGGCUAACUACGUGCCAGCAGCCGCGGUAAUACGUAGGUGGCAAGCGUUGUCCGGAUUUAUUGGGCGUAAAGCGAGCGCAGGCGGUUUUUUAAGUCUGAUGUGAAAGCCUUCGGCUCAACCGAAGAAGUGCAUCGGAAACUGGGAAACUUGAGUGCAGAAGAGGACAGUGGAACUCCAUGUGUAGCGGUGAAAUGCGUAGAUAUAUGGAAGAACACCCAGUGGCGAAGGCGGCUGUCUGGUCUGUAACUGACGCUGAGGCUCGAAAGUAUGGGGUAGCAAACAGGAUUAGAUACCCUGGUAGUCCAUACCGUAAACGAUGAAUGCUAAGUGUUUGGAGGGUUUCCGCCCUUCAGUGCUGCAGCUAACG